rnacentral:lncRNA from 1 species
AUGCUGGGCGUCCACCCUUCUUAGUGCCGACACACAUAGAUUCCCUACCCGCCACACGAGAGGGGCCAAAUGACAACUGGACCCUGGGCUUAUGGGUCAUCUGGGGACAAUAAACAUAUAAAUAACCUACCUCCAGUUCCAGCAAGCUGCUAUUUACAGAGGCCACGGCGCUGCCGCAGUGAUGCUGCUGAUGAACGCGGCAGUAGGAGCUGUGGUCGUGCUCCUGUUUGGUGCCUGGGCCCGAUUGGCAGAACAGAUCAGGAAGGUGGCUUUUGUUCCCAUUUCACAACACUUCAGGAUCCGUUUCCCAUGACCGUCAUGUAGGAACAUAAGCAGAUUCAUGAGCUGAUUGAUGAUAAGAAAGAAGUGCAGCUGGAGCCAGCCCUGAUGGCCUAGUGGUUAAGUUCAGCUCACUCUGCUUCAGCGACCAGGGUUCUGUUCCCAGGCAUGGAACUAC